rnacentral:rRNA from 1 species
GACGAAGGAUGCAAGCGUUAUCCGGAUUCAUUGGGUUUAAAGGGAGCGUAGGUGGCCUUAUAAGUCAGUGGUGAAAUCUUCGAGCUUAACUCGGAAAUUGCCAUUGAUACUGUAGGGCCUGAGUAUAGUUGCCGUUGGCGGAAUAUGACAUGUAGUGGUGAAAUACAUAGAGAUGUCAUAGAACACCGAUUGCGAAGGCAGCUGACGAAACUAUAACUGACACUGAGGCUCGAAAGUGCGGGGAUCAAACAGG